UGGGGAAUAUUGCACAAUGGGCGCAAGCCUGAUGCAGCCAUGCCGCGUGUAUGAAGAAGGCCUUCGGGUUGUAAAGUACUUUCAGCGAGGAGGAAGGCGUUGUGGUUAAUAACCGCAGCGAUUGACGUUACUCGCAGAAGAAGCACCGGCUAACUCCGUGCCAGCAGCCGCGGUAAUACGGAGGGUGCAAGCGUUAAUCGGAAUUACUGGGCGUAAAGCGCACGCAGGCGGUCUGUCAAGUCGGAUGUGAAAGCCCCGGGCUCAACCUGGGAACUGCAUCCGAAACUGGCAGGCUAGAGUCUUGUAGAGGGGGGUAGAAUUCCAGGUGUAGCGGUGAAAUGCGUAGAGAUCUGGAGGAAUAGCGGUGGCGAAGGCGGCCCCCUGGACAAAGCCUGACGCUCAGGUGCGAAAGCGUGGGGAGCAAACA
rnacentral:rRNA from 1 species